UACGGAGGGUGCGAGCGUUGUCCGGAAUCACUGGGCGUAAAGGGCGCGUAGGUGGCCCGUUAAGUGGCUGGUGAAAUCCCGCGGCUCAACUGCGGGGCUGCCGGUCAUACUGGCGAGCUAGAGCACGGUAGGGGCAGAUGGAAUUCCGGGUGUAGCGGUGGAAUGCGUAGAGAUCCGGAAGAACACCGGUGGCGAAGGCGGCCUGCUGGGCUAUGGCUGACACUGAGGCGCGACAGCGUGGGGAGCAAACAGG
rnacentral:rRNA from 1 species